rnacentral:lncRNA from 1 species
UUGGCGACUACUGGUUACUCUGCUGAGUUUUCUAAACUCUGCCGUUAGACUCAAAUAAAAACAUGUCAACUAACAUAAGAAAUUGACACUCUCACAAGGAUGUGAAUUUUCCAAAAACUAAUUGUAUACUUUUGAUGAAAAUGUAAUACUAAUACUAAUACUUUACAACAUUGCAAAAUAGAACCUAAUUAAAUUAGUUACAUCAAACAACUUUCUAUUAACUUCAUCUAAACACCGACUGCGAAUUUGAUGGUAAUUGUUGCAACUAAAUUGGAACUUCUCGUAUAUUCAUAACUUCAGCAUCUCUUAGUAACAAGGGUGAAGUCAAGUCAAACACAAUUUUUUUCUCAAAAAGAACUCAUAAUUUUCAUCAAGAAUGCAAAUACUCAAUCCUACCACCUUGUCGUGGGCAUAAGGUUGCACUCUCCCACCAUUAGUUUCUUCCACAAAAUCUCUCAAACUUUGUGGUUUUUAACUGCAGGGAAUCUCAAUCCCAAUUUCCCUACCCCGCAACAUUGUUCUCUGUUUUUGAUCUUACUAGUAGCCACACUUUUUCAUUUCUCUUCCGCUAAAUGCAAAAAGUCUUNNNNNNNNNNNNNNNNNNNNNNNNNNNNNNNNNNNNNNNNNNNNNNNNNUUUUAAGAAAAACGCAUUAAUGAUAAUUUGUUUGAGGAUCUAAAGGUUUUUUUAAUAAAAAAUAGAAUUUUGCUCUUUGGACCCCCUAAAUUAUUUUUAGGUCCUCAAAAAAUUAUAUUUUUUACUCUUAAACCCAGUUUGAAAGUUACAUUAUGAAUUUGAUGUUGGUUCAAAACAUAACUUCCAAACUAUGAAACUAAUUUUACAUUGACACAAUUCAAAAUUUAUCUUCUGAAUCACUAUCAUCAUCGUUUACUCCCUUAACUACCAUUCUUCUUUCGAAAUAUUAUGAUUUCAAAAAAUAUUAUGAUUUUUCAUAAUAUUUGCAUAAUAUUCUCUUAAAAUGUCAAUUCUCUUAAUUUAAAAAAAAAUAAAAAUAAAUAGGCCCAGUAGAACAAAUAAAGAACAAAUAAAUAAAGAUGCCCCGACUCCACCUUUCUUUUAUACUCCCCAAAAAUCUUAUUUUGCCCCUUGCGGUUUGAAAAAAAUUUGCCAACAAACUUCGGAUUUUAUGAACCGAAGUUUUUAAACAUGGGAAAAAAAUUCGGUUUAUAUAAACCUAAAUUUAUGUGAAAAAAAAUUUACCACACAAAAAGAAAAAAAAUUUAUGUGAAAAUUCGUGUAGAGCUACCUGUGGUAAAUUUAGCAUAUCUCUCUGAAUAUAAGUCAUAUGCCAAUGAUUUUUAAUCUAGUGUAAAGAAGACAAAAUUUACUACAAGAUUGACACCGGAAUUGUUAAAUUUCAUUAAGUAUAGUAUAAGAAAAUCUACCUACUAGUUUUAGAAAAGUUUUUGCUCUGUUUCUGUACUAUUACCUAUUAUUUGGUCAAUAUGAACUAAUUGGAUAGUUAACACUCCAAACAAAACUUAUAUUUGUAUUCUUGACACCCUAAGCUUUCCAACGAGUGAUCGCUUACUCAAAUUGGACAUUGUUUAGUAUUUCAAAUAAAUUGUGGAAGUUGAGGGUCUCAUACAGAAUUUAUGCAGGAAAUCUGAAGAAAAAAAUAUUUGAAACACAAUAUUUCGGUUUAUAUUAACCGAAAUUUUUUAGCAUGACAAAAAAAUUCGGUUCGUAUAAACCGCAGUAUUCCAAGACAAAAAUGGAAAUUCAGGAGUAGAAAAGAAACGGGGUAGGAAGAGAAAACAUAAUAAUAAAUAAAAGAGGGAAAACAAAAUUUUCAGGUUAGAAUUGUUGUUCAUUCUUUCUCUUCUCUCUG